rnacentral:rRNA from 1 species
GACGAACGCUGGCGGCGUGCUUAACACAUGCAAGUCGAACGGAAAGGCCCUGCUUUUGUUGGGUUCUCGAGUGGCGAACGGGUGAGUAACACGCGAGUAACCUGCCCUUGACUUUGGGAUAACUUCAGGAAACUGGGGCUAAUACCGGAUAGGAGCUCCUGCUGCAUGGUGGGGGUUGGAAAGUUUCGGCGGUUGUGGAUGGACUCGCGGCUUAUCAGCUUCUUGGUGGGGUAGUGGCUUACCAAGGCUUUGACGGGUAGCCGGCCUGAGAGGGUGACCGGGGACAAUAGGACUAAGAGACGGCCCAGACUCCUACGGGAGGCAGCAGUCGAGAAUAUUGCACAAUGGGCGGAAGCCUGAUGCAGCAACGCCGCGUGCGGGAUGACGGCCUUCGGGUUGUAAACCGCUUUCGCCUGUGACGAAGCGUGAGUGACGGUAAUGAGUAAAGAAGCACCGGCUAACUACGUG